UGGGGCGGGGCGAGCGGCGGCGGCUCGGCGGGUACGCCCCCUCGCCCGAGGCCCCCUCCUCUUCUCUCUUUGCUGCUGCUCUAGCUCCCUGGUCAGAGGGCCGGAGCGAGAAGAUGGCGAAGACGUACGAUUAUCUGUUCAAGCUGCUACUGAUCGGCGACUCGGGAGUGGGCAAGACCUGCCUCCUAUUCCGCUUCUCCGAGGACGCCUUCAACACCACCUUCAUCUCCACCAUCGGAAUUGAUUUUAAAAUCAGAACGAUAGAACUAGAUGGAAAGAAAAUUAAGCUUCAGAUAUGGGACACAGCAGGUCAGGAAAGAUUUCGAACCAUCACAACAGCAUACUACAGAGGAGCCAUGGGAAUUAUGCUGGUCUAUGACAUCACAAAUGAAAAGUCCUUUGACAAUAUUAAAAAUUGGAUAAGAAACAUUGAAGAGCAUGCCUCUUCAGAUGUUGAAAGAAUGAUCCUGGGUAACAAAUGUGAUAUGAAUGACAAAAGACAAGUGUCAAAAGAAAGAGGAGAGAAGUUAGCGAUUGACUAUGGGAUUAAAUUUUUGGAGACAAGUGCGAAAUCGAGUACAAAUGUAGAAGAGGCAUUUUUUAUACUUGCACGAGAUAUAAUGACAAAACUCAACAGAAAAAUGAAUGACAGCAACUCAUCGGGGGCAGGUGGGCCAGUGAAAAUUACAGAAAACAGAUCAAAGAAGACCAGUUUCUUCCGUUGUUCACUCCUUUGAUGAACUCUUUCUGAGAGACUGCAGCACACUUAGAGGACCCUUUUCUGCUUCUCUGAAAGCACAGGUCCCCCAGCCUCAGAGUCACGGCGCCCGGCUGCUGCUGAGAGCACCACUGAACCCAGACUUCUCAACACUGAAUGCCAAGUGGGUUCCAGCCUCAUGGCCUAGCAAGAUAACAGGCUCCUUUUUUCAAACAUGGAAGCAAUGAAGUGGAGACUCAUGCAGGACCUAACUUGUUUUUUCUUUGUUUUAUUGCCUGUUGCAGAAGCUGCUAUCUUUCUUUUUCACUUUGCACGUCAAUGUUAACCUUUCCCUGUUAAUAGCACAAUCUUAGACUCAUAUUUACAUGCUUUUGUCUCAUUGGGCAUUUGCAGAUGUUUAAAAAGGUAGAAUAUUUAAAGCAGAGGUUGAUACACUAAAAUUAAAGGACAUUUGGCCUGGCUCAUUUGGCCAAAUAUUACUGCAUCAAUAACAUUCAUUUAUAGACUCUGAUUUGUGAUUUUAUAAAUAAGAAACAUUAAAUUCUGAUAAAAUUUAUCUUAAAAAUCCAUAAAAAUGCCCAUCUGUUCAGCAGAGACCACAGUUUAUUUCUUCAUGUUGUUUAGAGAUUGCUUCAUUUCUGAACUUUUUGCCACAGAGUCUGGGUAGCUAAAUAAAUCACUUUUUCAAUUGAUUACCUCUGCCUAAUCUAGAGAAACUACAUUUGGAAGUCACCUUAAUCUCACCUUUUCUAGAGGUGGUAUGUGCUAUUCUUAUGUUUGAUUACUAGUUGUAAUUACUCAGUUAUCUAAAGCAUAACAUUGUUGUCUGUUUCUGACUGGACUUCUUGAGCUGAAAUUUUAAACAGGCAGGGAGAGUGCCUUUUAGGGUUUUCUUUCAGCAUCUAAUUGUCAUUCUGUCACAUCAGCACGUGUAAUAUUUUUUUUCUUAGGUUCACGCCUUUGCUUGCUGGUUUAGCUGUAAUACCCAAUUCCUGCCACAAUCUGUCGGUAAGAGUUAAUGAGUUAGAUUUAGAUUUUAGUUCCCCAAACUCUUAUCAAAAGGGAAAGAUUAACUUGAUAUGGUAAUGGUGAAAAUAAUUAUUUUUGUUCUGUUUUUAUUGGAACUUUUUUAAAAAUAAAAAAAAUUAGACCUUGUGCAGCCUCUAGGAAAAGUCUUGCCUUUUCAUUAGAGAAAAUAUGAGCAAGGUUUCAAUUUUAAAACAGCCAUUCUUGAAUGUGUAGAACCCAGUUCCAUCUGUUCAAGCUUGUUGUUAUGGAACUUGGUCCAGUCGUUUGGGCCAAAGCCAACCACAAACUUCUCUGCCUUUCUCACCAAACGCUGGUCCUGGGAUACCUUUUGUAGAUUAACUGUCACAUAAGAAAAAAAAAGGUAUUUAAUGUUAACUUGUGUGCCAAAUUCAAAUCAUGAAGUCACUGCUGUUAUUCUAGCCUUCAGUAUCAAUACACAGAAGGGAGAAAUAAAGAGGUCAUUAGGGAAGUAAAUUCUGUUAAUAAUUGUUGUCCCUGUUAGGCCUGUUUUGUUUCACAAAGGUUCCCAUUGGGCUUGAUAGUUAAGAAUGGAAGAUGAAAGUGGAAAGGGAUUGCUUGUUAGCACAGAGAAUUCUGCUUCAAAUUAAGAUGUAUCCAAGGCUUGGACCACUCAACUGUUACUGCCCAUUUGAAAACGUACACACAAUUCAGUGGUAAUAAAUACACCAGAGCUAUUUUUUAUGUAUACACUAAACUUACUGUUGAUAGAUUACAGCCUCCUUGAUUUUUUUUUUCUUUCUGCACUUACCUAUGGGCUUAAAAGCACCUGUUGGUGUUCCAGUAUAACUAGUAGUUCCUUGAUUGAAAGUUGAUUGUAUGUCUGCCAUCUUAAAAUUAGGUACAUUUCUGGAAAGAAAAAAUACUUUCUUAGAAACAUUUUCUACUCACUAAUUUUCUUAAAAAGAUCAUAGCAGUUAAGUUUUCUGGAUGGUAACAAAGUACUUUCUAAAAGGCAAGUGCUAUGACACCAUGUAUGAAUGUAAUUCUCUUAGUAAUUUACCUCUGACUAUUUGGUGUCUUAACACUUUGGUUUAUAUCUCAGGGGUUGUCUACAAACCAAAACUGACGUAUUCUGUGGUUAGCUUUUUUAAAAAACCAAUGCUUUGCUUUUGUUUUAUUCCUUCUCUCUUCUUUUGUCUUAUAUGGGUUAAUAACUAGUCUCCAUGAACUUCCCUUUGAAAGAGCCUGUAAAAGUUAGAUGAGUCCAAAGGUGUUCUUUGAAGUAGCAGCAAAUUGGGGGUAAAUGCUCUGUUAUAUAGAAAUAAAUUGUCCUUGCUAUUUUCUUACAUUUAGCUUUGCUAAAUUGUAUAUAAUUUGAGCUAAGACCAUAGGAAAUUCACUUUCUGCAUGGUAAAAUGACCCAAUAAAUCGCCCACCUUGCUUAACAAUGUACAUAUAGUGCAUUAUUUUUUCUAUUUGUAGAUGAAUUUAGUGGCAGAUAAUUGUCUGUUCCCUGCUGAAACUGAAGAAAUCUAGUUUUGUGUGAACAUUUUUUGUGGUCUUAUGGAUAAGGUACAUGAAGAUCUUUGCAGCAGUAUUAGUGGUUCGGUGGCUGCACUUUAUUAUCAGUGUGGUAAUUUUUGACAAUGAUUGGACUAGACCCUUUCAAAUAGAGUCUGAGGGUAUCAGACAGUGAAAAUGUGCUGUAACUAAGUAGCAUGUAAAACAGUUGACGUAAAAUGUUUCACUGGGAAUUUAUUUUAGCUAUACUUUAUUUCUGACAGAUUAUGGGAAAAUAAUCCACCUGGGCAUCAGUUAGGAGAUGCUGCAGGUUUAUUACUAUUUACACAAACAUUUUGUGCAGUCUUUGUUAUCAGUUUUCGGAAAACUAUAUGCUCUUUACUUUGAAGGACUAUUUUUUAAUUAUACCUCAUCUAGCUAACUAGUAUUCUAAUAACUGGUAGAAAAACAGUGAGCCAGCCUUUACGCAUCCAAUACAAUUUAGAUUGUAUGUUUUGUUUUGAACUAAAGGCAUCAUUGGGAAAAGUAGGAGGUAGUUUAGAAUCAAACAUACAUGUCAUAUCUAAUAGCUUAAAAAAAGUAUUAUCUCCCUGUCUUCAUUAAUAAAUUUAGCUGUGCAAUAUAGAUAAAUGUUUGCAGAAAUUCCUAAAUAAGGGACUAUAACUCCAUUUAACAGGUUCUGAAUGCUGAGAAUCUGUAUUAAGGCUUAUAAAGUUUUUUCCUGUGGACAGUAAGUGAUACAUUUAAGCAGACUUUCUUUUCUAGUUCAUGAUUUAGAUUAUUUAAAAUAAAUUUAAUUCUUAAUCUUUAAAGAUGAGCUUCUAAGCUUAAAUAUGAAAACAGCAUUUCAUUAUGUUGGUUUACUUAUCUCAGAUUUUAAGCACUCAUUUCUGCUAUUGGGCUUCUUAGAAUUUUUCUUUUAACAGAAAAACAUUCCUUUUUCCUUCUUAUUAUAUCCAAAGACAGGGGGAAAAAGAAUGUCUAAAAAUGAAAUUCCUUGUCCUUAGAGAGACCUAGAGGGACAGGAUAUACUAAUAAAAUUUCAAAUGCUAGCACAGUUUUAUAGUAGAAGCAGUCUUUCUUUUAGACUAAUAAAAUUAAUGGGUGUCAUGUUCACUUAUGAAAAAAAUCUUGAUGAAAUUUACAGAAAUGAUAAUUAGCAAUUAUUUUAGGGAUAUUUUCAAAUUUCACUUCAAUUUUUGGAAUGCUUGUGCCAUGUGCAAUUGCAUUUCUUAUUGCCAAGAACUAAUAGAACUUCUUGUUUCACUUUCUACCUUUUUUUAAAAUGUGAAUUAUUACACUUCAUUCCUAUGGCCUUACAGAUGGAUUUUAUUUUAUUUGUCUGUAGCUGAUGCUGCAGUUCCUUUAAUGCAAAAUACCACAUAUUUGACUAAAAUAAUGUCCCUAAUGGGAAAUACCUAGUUUUUCCAUAGAGUUAUCUGACUAUAUGUGUUUCUGCAAUUUUAUUUUUGCUCCAACAGCUUAAUGUGAAAAGCUCCUGCAGAUAAAAUGGACCUGUUAUGUGGUUAAUCUUGUUUAAGCCAAUUCAUUAACUGUGUACUGAUUCUGAUGAUGCUGUGGGUUUUUUUUUAAAAAAAGGAUUUUAUUCCAAGUGAACCUUUUUUACAAUAAUGUUCGUCUAAAAUAAAAACUACGUAGUGAAAAUA